CGGUUCGCCGCCCGUCGGUGUCAACUGGCAUGUCCUGUGGAACGUCCUGCCGGUGGCGGACCGGGCUUUCGGCUUGCGUAAGGGCUUACGCCCGAAGCAGGCCGAACAGUACCGGCCGCCGGUCCAAUCCCGCCACGGUGCUCUUCACCGAGUGUCGAGGUGGGCCGGCACGUUUACUUUGAACAAAUUAGAGUGCUUAAAGCAGGCUGGUGUCCGCCUGAAUACUGUGUGCAUGGAAUAAUAGAAUAGGACCUCGGUUCUAUUUUGUUGGUUUUCGGAACCCGAGGUAAUGAUUAAUAGGGACAGGCGGGGGCAUUCGUAUUGCGACGUUAGAGGUGAAAUUCUUGGAUCGUCGCAAGACGAACCUAAGCGAAAGCAUUUGCCAAGUAUGUUCUCGUUAAUCAAGAACGAAAGUUAGAGGUUCGAAGGCGAUCAGAUACCGCCCUAGUUCUAACCAUAAACGAUGCCAGCCAGCGAUCCGCCGAAGUUCCUCCGAUGACUCGGCGGGCAGCUUCCGGGAAACCAAAGCUUUUGGGUUCCGGGGGAAGUAUGGUUGCAAAGCUGAAACUUAAAGGAAUUGACGGAAGGGCACCACCAGGAGUGGAGCCUGCGGCUUAAUUUGACUCAACACGGGAAACCUCACCAGGCCCGGACACCGGAAGGAUUGACAGAUUGAGAGCUCUUUCUUGAUUCGGUGGGUGGUGGUGCA
rnacentral:rRNA from 1 species